AUUGAACGCUGGCGGCAUGCCUUACACAUGCAAGUCGAACGGUAACAGGUCUUUCGGGAUGCUGACGAGUGGCGAACGGGUGAGUAAUACAUCGGAACGUGCCUAGUAGUGGGGGAUAACUACUCGAAAGAGUGGCUAAUACCACAUGAGAUCUAUGGAUGAAAGCAGGGGACCUUUGGGCCUUGUGCUACUAGAGCGGCCGAUGGCAGAUUAGGUAGUUGGUGGGAUAAAAGCUUACCAAGCCUACGAUCUGUAGCUGGUCUGAGAGGACGAUCAGCCACACUGGGACUGAGACACGGCCCAGACUCCUACGGGAGGCAGCAGUGGGGAAUUUUGGACAAUGGGCGCAAGCCUGAUCCAGCAAUGCCGCGUGCAGGAUGAAGGCCUUCGGGUUGUAAACUGCUUUUGUACGGAACGAAAAGUCUUGGGUUAAUACCCUGGGAUCAUGACGGUACCGUAAGAAUAAGCACCGGCUAACUACGUG
rnacentral:rRNA from 1 species